GACGAACGCUGGCGGCGUGCUUAACACAUGCAAGUCGAGCGGAAAGGCCUGCUUUCCCUUGUGGAUUGCGGGUACUCGAGUGGCGAACGGGUGAGUAACACGUGAGUGAUCUGCCCCCAACUUGGGUAUAAGCCUGGGAAACUGGGUCUAAUUCCCGAUAGGACUGCAGGGUGGUGCCUGUGGUGGAAAACGAUUUUCUAGUGGUUGGGGAUGAGCUCGCGGCCUAUCAGCUUGUUGGUGGGGUAAUGGCCUACCAAGGCGGCGACGGGUAGCCGGCCUGAGAGGGUGGACGGCCACAUUGGGACUGAGAUACGGCCCAGACUCCUACGGGAGGCAGCAGUGGGGAAUAUUGCACAAUGGGCGGAAGCCUGAUGCAGUGACGCCGCGUGGGGGAUGACGGCCUUCGGGUUGUAAACUCCUUUCGACCGCGAGGAAGCCACCUGGUUGGAAGGGUGGUGACGGUAGUGGUAGAAGAAGCACCGGCUAACUACGUG
rnacentral:rRNA from 1 species